rnacentral:tRNA from 1 species
GGGGCUGUAGUGUAACCUGGCUAUCAUUAAUGGUUUGGGACCAUUGGAUCCCGGUUCAAAUCCGGGCAGCCCCG